rnacentral:rRNA from 1 species
CCCUGACCUCGGAUCA